rnacentral:rRNA from 1 species
CCUACGGGAGGCAGCAGUGGGGAAUAUUGGACAAUGGGGGCAACCCUGAUCCAGCCAUGCUGCGUGUGUGAAGAAGGCCCUCGGUUUGUAAAGCACUUUCAGUGAGGAAGAACGCCUGGUGGUUAAUACCCAUCAGGAAAGACAUCACUCACAGAAGAAGCACCGGCUAACUCCGUGCCAGCAGCCGCGGUAAUACGGAGGGUGCGAGCGUUAAUCGGAAUUACUGGGCGUAAAGCGCGCGUAGGUGGCUUGAUAAGCCGGUUGUGAAAGCCCCGGGCUCAACCUGGGAACGGCAUCCGGAACUGUCAAGGUAGAGUGCAGGAGAGGAAGGUAGAAUUCCCGGUGUAGCGGUGAAAUGCGUAGAGAUCGGGAGGAAUACCAGUGGCGAAGGCGGCCUUCUGGACUGACACUGACACUGAGGUGCGAAAGCGUGGGUAGCAAACAGGAUUAGAUACCCUAGUAGUC